AGAACUUAGCAGAGAUGCUUUGGUGCCUUCGGGAACUCUGAGACAGGUGCUGCAUGGCUGUCGUCAGCUCGUGUUGUGAAAUGUUGGGUUAAGUCCCGCAACGAGCGCAACCCUUAUCCUUUGUUGCCAGCGAUUCGGUCGGGAACUCAAAGGAGACUGCCAGUGAUAAACUGGAGGAAGGUGGGGAUGACGUCAAGUCAUCAUGGCCCUUACGAGUAGGGCUACACACGUGCUACAAUGGCGCAUACAAAGAGAAGCGACCUCGCGAGAGCAAGCGGACCUCAUAAAGUGCGUCGUAGUCCGGAUUGGAGUCUGCAACUCGACUCCAUGAAGUCGGAAUCGCUAGUAAUCGUAGAUCAGAAUGCUACGGUGAAUACGUUCCCGGGCCUUGUACACACCGCCCGUCACACCAUGGGAGUGGGUUGCAAAAGAAGUAGGUAGCUUAACUUUCGGGAGGGCGCUUACCCCUUUGUGAUUCAUGACUGGGGUGAAGUCGUAACAAGGUAGGCGUAGUGCU
rnacentral:rRNA from 1 species